GGGAUCCGGCUUAGCCAUGCAAGUUUGUCCGCAAGGACGGCAGAAUGCUCAGUAACACGUCAUUAACCUACCUUUAGGUUCGGGAUAACCUCGGAAAACUGAGGAUAAUACCGAAUAAGGAUAUUUUCUGGAAGGAUGUUUCCUUAAAAGAUUGCGCCUAAAGAUGGGAUGGCGGUCGAUUAGGUUGUUGGUGGUGUAAUGGACCACCAAGCCGAAGAUCGAUAGGGGCCUUGAGAGAGGUUGCCCCGAGAAGGGUACUGAGACACUGACCCUAGCCCUACGGGGUGCAGCAGGCGUGAAUUCUUUACAAUGCACGAAAGUGUGAUAAGGGGAUCCCAAGUGCUUAUGCUUAGCAUAGGCUUUUAUUAAGGGUAAAAACCUUAAUGAAUAAGUGGUGGGAAAGACUGGUGCCAGCCGCCGCGGUAACACCAGCGCCACGAGUGGAGAUCGUUUUUAUUGGGUCUAAAGCGUCCGUAGCCGGUUUAGUAAAUCCUUUGUGAAAUUGUCAGGCUUAACUUGACAUCGUGCAGGGGACACUGCAAAACUAGAGACCGGGAGGAGUUAGAAGUAUUCUGGGGGGAGCGGUAAAAUGCAUUAAUCCUCAGAAGACUACCUGUGGCGAAGGCGUCUAACUAGAACGGAUCUGACGGUGAGGGACGAAGGCCAGGGGAGCAAACCGGAUUAGAUACCCGAGUAGUCCUGGCAGUAAACGCUGUGAGCUAGGUGUUGCGUAUUCUCCGUGAAUGCGCAGUAUCGUAAUGAAGAUGUUAAGCUCACCACCUGGGGAGUACGGUCGCAAGACUGAAACUUAAAGGAAUUGGCGGGGGAGCACUACAAGGGGUGCGGCGUGCGGUUUAAUCUAAUUUAACACAGAGAAUCUCACCAGGGGCGACGGCAGUAUGAAGGUCAGUCUAAAGGGCUUACCUGACGAGCCGAGAGGUAGUGCAUGGCCGCCGCCAGCUCGUGCCGUAAGGUGUCCUGUUAAGUCAGGCAACGAGCGAGACCUGCACCUGCAGUUGUUAGCAACUCCAUCAGGAGGAUUGAACACACUGCGGGGACUGCCCUGGAAACAGGGAGGAAGGUGCAGGCAACGGUAGGUCUGUAUGCUCCGAAUCCACUGGGCUACACGCGCGCAACAAUGGUAGAGACAACGGGAUGCGACUCCGAAAGGAGGAGCUAAACCUCCAAACUCUAUCUUAGUUCAGAUCGAGGAUUGUAACUCAUCCUCGUGACGAUGGAAUCCCUAGUAAUCGUGUUUUAUCAGAAGACGGUGAAUAUGUCCCUGCUCCUUGCACACACCGCCCGUCAAACCAUCCGAGCAGGGUCUAGAUGAGGCUUGAUUUUUUUGAUCACGUCAAAUCUAGGCUCAGUGAGGGGGGUUAAGUCGUCACAAGGUA
rnacentral:rRNA from 1 species